CUGUGGUCUGGUGCCCAGCUUCUAUUGUAAACAAAUAGAAGUCUGGCAUGAGCGGAAUAAUGGCCGACGCGAUGAUAAUAAUGGAUCAUACUUAUAUAAAAGGGGAGAGAGUGUCUGGGUUUCAAGUGAUCGGGAGUAGGUCUGGCCCAGAUCACAUAUACAGUUCCUGUGCCCCCAAAGACUCAAGUACCCCUCCGAAACGAGGAAGCAAGAGGGCAGUGUCAACUCCCACAGGACAAACACCUACACAUGAACAUAAAAGGAUUGAACUGGAUGAAAAAAACAGACACAACAAAUGGUCCCUUGAUGAGACAUCCUUUCUGAGAGAAUACAGUCAGACAUUACGAAAAGAUGGCGAGUCAGAAAACAGUUUCUGGAACAACUGCGCAAUUGCAAUGAACAACAUGUUUGGUGGAAAAAAACAGAACAGGGAAGUCCUGCAAGAUGGCAGCCUGGCGGUUAAAUCUUUCUGGUACAUGUAACAGCACCAUGUGUACUUCUGUUAAUGAAGACUUUGUGGAUUUUACGCCGCUGUCAGAGACAAAAGGAAACAAUGUGUGAACCCAGACUGAUUUGUCUUUUAAUAAUAAG